rnacentral:rRNA from 1 species
ACUAGCUUGCUAGUAGGCGUCGAGUGGCGGACGGGUGAGUAACGCGUAGGAAUCUACCUGAUAGUGGGGGAUAGCCCGAAGAAAUUCGGAUUAAUACCGCAUAAUCUAUUCGUAGUAAAGUGGGGGACUUUCGAGCCUCACGCUAUCAGAUGAGCCUGCGUAAGAUUAGCUAGUUGGUAGGGUAAAAGCCUACCAAGGCGACGAUCUUUAGCUGGUCUGAGAGGAUGAUCAGCCACAUCGGGACUGAGACACGGCCCGAACUCCUACGGGAGGCAGCAGUGGGGAAUAUUGGACAAUGGGGGCAACCCUGAUCCAGCAAUACCGCGUGUGUGAAGAAGGCCUGAGGGUUGUAAAGCACUUUCAAUUGUGAAGAAAAGCUAGUGGUUAAUAGCCAUUAGCCUUGACGUUAACUUUAGAAGAAGCACCGGCUAACUCCCUGCCAGCAGCCGCGGUAAUACGGAGGGUGCAAGCGUUAAUCGGAAUUACUGGGCGUAAAGCGUGCGUAGGCGGUUUAUUAAGUCAGAUGUGAAAGCCCCGGGCUUAACCUGGGAACUGCAUUUGAAACUGGUCAACUAGAGUAUGGUAGAGGAAAGUGGAAUUUCUGGUGUAGCGGUGAAAUGCGUAGAUAUCAGAAGGAACAUCAAUGGCGAAGGCAACUUUCUGGACCAAUACUGACGCUGAGGUACGAAAGCGUGGGUAGCAAACAGGAUUAGAUACCCUGGUAGUCCACGCCGUAAACGAUGAUAACUAGCCGUUGGGGGGAUUUACCCUUAGUGGCGAAGCUAACGCGUUAAGUUAUCCGCUGGGGAGUA